CCUACGGGUGGCAGCAGUGGGGAAUAUUGCACAAUGGGGGAAACCCUGAUGCAGCGACGCCGCGGGAGAGAUGAAGUAGUGCGGGAGGUAAAGCUCGAUCAGCAGGGAAGAAAAUGACGGUACCUGACUAAGAAGCCCCGGCUAACUACGUGCCAGCAGCCGCGGUAAUACGUAGGGGGCAAGCGUUAUCCGGAUUUACUGGGUGUAAAGGGAGCGUAGACGGCGGGGCAAGCCAGAUGUGAAAGCCCGGGGCUCAACCCCGGGACUGCAUUUGGAACUGUGCUGCUAGAGUGUCGGAGAGGCAGGCGGAAUUCCUAGUGUAGCGGUGAAAUGCGUAGAUAUUAGGAGGAACACCAGUGGCGAAGGCGGCCUGCUGGACGAUGACUGACGUUGAGGCUCGAAAGCGUGGGGAGCAAACAGGAUUAGAUACCCUGGUAGUA
rnacentral:rRNA from 1 species